ACAUGCUUACAACAUAGCAUUAAUGCACCAGAUCUCAUUAGAACUCUGUAGUGAAGUGUGCUUGGCCUAGAGUAGUAUUGGGAUGGGUGGCCGCCUGGGAAGUCCUAUGUUUUACAUUCC
rfam:Picea glauca, whole genome shotgun sequence.